UUCUCUGCUACAAAUGCAGUUCCAUUGUCUCUAACAAAGGUCAAGGGUAAGCCAUAUCUAGGGAUGAUUUUUCACUGCCAGGACCUUACAAACUUUUAUUGUCAUUUCAGUGUGGUUAUGGAAUGUCUUGGGCCAGUCUCCAUAGGUGCAGCUGGCAGGCUGGGUGUCAUUAGUCAGAAGUGCAAUGAUAUUUUGUGUUGGGAAACCAGUGACGUCAGCUGUGACAGCAUGUCCAAAGAGGGCAAACAAGUUUUUGAACAUCUGGGAGGUGAGUCCAAGUCACUUAACCUUUGAGAUCAGAGCUGGGGCCCUUCCAUUUAAAGGUGAAAAUGGGCUGACUGGCGGUAACCAAAGAAAGGCAGAAGUAGGCAUUUUUUAGGACCAAGCAUGUGGUCAAGAGGGGCAGAGAAGUAGGUGUCUUGGAGUGGCCAAAUCUUGUCAGAGCCUCCCCAAAAGUAAAUGCACAGUUGUCAAACCCUCAUGUCAAUAGUUCAAGUGAGUUGGCCCUUUUUAUCCCAUCUCUGUAUCUUCUUGUUCAAAGGCAAAGAGGGUUGACUAGCAUGGACAAUUUGCAAACAGAAGAAGGCAUCUUUUAAAUCCAGACAAGUCAAUCAGGUGGUAUUUGGAAGUAACAGUCUGAGAAGGGUGUAUGGGUUGGGAACCACAGAGCAUGGUUGGUGGUCAGGCCCUAAAGCAAGUCUUGGCUCAUUCCUCUAGGAAGAGAGUUUUCAAAAUUUCAGGAUUUGCAGUUAUCUGUCUCAGGCUGAGGCAAGCAUCAUCUUCCUCUCUGGGUUGAACUAGGGGGAGGCUGACUGGAUUGAGGACAGGAAUUCAUGUUUAGUGAGCUGUCCUGCCGGCAUUGUUUAUGCCUGGCAGAGGGGGCAAGAAGCAAGAGUCCAAUUGCCUCAGUGGUGGUCACUUUUUAAGAGAGGAAACUUUUGAAGGCCAAGAUUUCUGUUCCAUUGUCUACCAGGAAAAGCACAGGUUUGCUUCUGACUUUUGCAAUGAUCGUGGGCUCUCAGGGUGCCAAUUUGAUAAGAGUUUGGACUCUCCUAUCCAUCCAUGACUGACAGGGUAAAGAGAGGUUCAUGUUGAGGUGGGCCUAAAUAAUCAGGUUUUUUUUGUGUCUUGCAGAUGAAGAGGGCUUUUAUAUUUGUUCAUCACCCUUACAACUCAUAGCCAGAGGAUAUGAUUGUCUAUCAAACUUUACUUUCUUAUAGAUAUCAGGUGCUUUAUUUUACCAGGUUUCUGGUAACAGUGGUUGAUGGGCUUUUUGCCCUCAUUUUGAUGUCUUUGAGGAGCACUUGAAUGGGUUGCUUUGGUUAAAAGCCAUGGCAGUUUCUGGAUACUGGUG
rnacentral:lncRNA from 1 species